UACGGAGGGUCCAAGCGUUAUCCGGAAUCAUUGGGUUUAAAGGGUCCGUAGGCGGCCCUGUAAGUCAGUGGUGAAAUCUCCCGGCUCAACCGGGAAAUUGCCAUUGAUACUGCAGGGCUUGAAUUAUUGGGUAGUAACUAGAAUAUGUAGUGUAGCGGUGAAAUGCUUAGAUAUUACAUGGAAUACCAAUUGCGAAGGCAGGUUACUAUCAAUAUAUUGACGCUGAUGGACGAAAGCGUGGGUAGCGAACAGG
rnacentral:rRNA from 1 species